rnacentral:misc_RNA from 1 species
UUGAAAAAAUCCAUUGGAUGUUGCUGGUCUCUAGGGACAUGUGCACUCCAAACUUUUCAACCCACCUGUGAACCUAUUGUAGGCCAGAUGAUAAUAAAGUCUGUGCCUAUGUUUUUACACACACACCCAAAAAAGUUUAUAGAAUGUUUUUAAAAGAGUAAACCUCUAUUAAAAUA